AGCCUGCCGGUGGACAGAUUGUACAGUUUCUCUUUUCUCCUCGACGCCUUUAGGCUAUCACAGGUUUCCAUAUGUGAGACCAGAACACUAUGCAAAACAUGCCUGCUACCGCAUACGUGCCGAAUGCAGAAUGGACUUCAAAGACAGCUGCCACAACGUGGAUUUCCCCUUUCCUGAUGUUAAUUUGAAUCUGGUGCAAAGUUAAGUGAAUGUCCAGGCUUCCAGCAACUGGGACAUUACCACAAUGGGGAUGCACUUCCAUCAUCAGUUCAUUCUGCAGGAAGGACUGAAGACCUGGGGAUGUAGUGAUCGGUCUCCAAAGC